GAUGAACGCUGGCGGCGUGCCUAAUACAUGCAAGUCGAGCGAAAGGACGAGAAGUUUGUUUCUCUGAUGUUAGCGGCGGGCGGGUGAGUAACAUGAGGAUAAUGUACCUAUAAGACUGGGAUAACUUCGGGAAACCGUAGCUAAUACCGGAUAAUAUUUUGAACCGCAUGGUUCAAUAGUGAAAGACGGUCUUGCUGUCACUUAUAGAUGGAUCCGCGCUGCUUUAGCUAGUUGGUAAGGUAACGGCUUACGAAGGCAACGAGGCAUAGCCGACCUGUGAGGGGGGUCGCCCACAUGGGAGGUUGGCCACGGUCAAUACUACUGCGGGAGGCCGCAGAAGGGAAUCUUCGGCAGUGGGGGAAAGCCUGACGGAACAGCGCCGCGUGAGUUAUGAAGGUCUUGGGUGCGUAAUACUCGGUUAUGAGGGAAGAACAUAUGUGUACUUAACUGUGCACAUCUUGACGGUACCUGAUCAGAAAGCCACGGCUAACUACGUG
rnacentral:rRNA from 1 species